AAGGAAUAUUGGUCAAUGGACGGAAGUCUGAACCAGCCAUGCCGCGUGGAGGAUGAAGGCCCUCUGGGUUGUAAACUUCUUUUAUUUGGGACGAAACACUCUUUUUCUAAGGAGCUUGACGGUACCAGAUGAAUAAGCACCGGCUAACUCCGUGCCAGCAGCCGCGGUAAUACGGAGGGUGCAAGCGUUAUCCGGAUUCACUGGGUUUAAAGGGUGCGUAGGCGGAUUUGUAAGUCCGUGGUGAAAUCUCUAAGCUUAACUUGGAAAUUGCCGUGGAUACUAUAAGUCUUGAAUAUUGUGGAGGUUAGCGGAAUAUGUCAUGUAGCGGUGAAAUGCAUAGAUAUGACAUAGAACACCAAUUGCGAAGGCAGCUGGCUACACAACUAUUGACGCUGAGGCACGAAAGCGUGGGGAUCAAAC
rnacentral:rRNA from 1 species